UACGGGGGGGGUAAGCGUUGUUCGGAAUUACUGGGCGUAAAGGGCUCGUAGGCGGCCAACUAAGUCGGACGUGAAAUCCCUCAGCUUAACUGGGGAACUGCGUCCGAUACUGGAUGGCUUGGAUUUGGGAGAGGGAUGCGGAAUUCCAGGUGUAGCGGUGAAAUUCGUAGAUAUUCGGAGGAACACCAGUGGCGAAGGCGGCCCACUGGCUCGACACUGACGCUGAGGUGCGAAAGCGUGGGGAGCAAACAGG
rnacentral:rRNA from 1 species